rnacentral:rRNA from 1 species
AUACGGAGGGGGUUAGCGUUGUUCGGAAUUACUGGGCGUAAAGCGCACGUAGGCGGACUGGAAAGUUGGGGGUGAAAUCCCGGGGCUCAACCCCGGAACUGCCUCCAAAACUUCCAAUCUAGAGAUCGAGAGAGGUGAGUGGAAUUCCAAGUGUAGAGGUGAAAUUCGUAGAUAUUUGGAGGAACACCGGUGGCGAAGGCGGCUCACUGGCUCGAUACUGACGCUGAGGUGCGAAAGCGUGGGGAGCAAACAGGAUUAGAAACCCCAGUAGUCC